rnacentral:rRNA from 1 species
AGCGAACGCUGGCGGCAGGCCUAACACAUGCAAGUCGAACGAACUCUUCGGAGUUAGUGGCGGACGGGUGAGUAACACGUGGGAACGUGCCUUUAGGUUCGGAAUAACUCAGGGAAACUUGUGCUAAUACCGAAUGUGCCCUUCGGGGGAAAGAUUUAUCGCCUUUAGAGCGGCCCGCGUCUGAUUAGCUAGUUGGUGAGGUAAAGGCUCACCAAGGCGACGAUCAGUAGCUGGUCUGAGAGGAUGAUCAGCCACAUUGGGACUGAGACACGGCCCAAACGGCUGCCGGAGGCGGCAGUGGGGGAACUUGCGGAGGGGGCGAGAGGCUGAAACAGCGAGGGCGGGUGAAUGGUCAGCGUGUUAGAAAUGUAAAACUCUUGCACCGGAGCGGGUGAGGAGGGAACCCGGAGAAGAGGCCCCGGCUAAUUUCUU